rnacentral:rRNA from 1 species
CGCUGUGAGGCGUUGAGCUAACCAAUACUAAUUGCCCGUGAGGCUUGACCAUAUAACACCCAAGCAAUU